UACGUAGGGUGCGAGCGUUAUCCGGAAUUAUUGGGCGUAAAGAGCUCGUAGGCGGUGUGUCACGUCGGCCGUGAAAACCUGCAGCUUAACUGUGGGCGUGCGGUCGAUACGGGCAUCACUGGAGUUCGGCAGGGGAGACUGGAAUUCCUGGUGUAGCGGUGAAAUGCGCAGAUAUCUGGAGGAACACCGGUGGCGAAGGCGGCAUCCUGGACCGGUAUUGACGCUGAGGCGCGAAAGCCAGGGGAGCAAACGGG
rnacentral:rRNA from 1 species